rnacentral:misc_RNA from 1 species
GAACCCAAUUUUCCACAUCAACAAGUUGUGAGGACAUUGCUGCUUUUUGAGAUGGCACAGAUAUCUUGCAUUUUAGUCCCAAUUUUGUAAUGUUCAAUGAAGUUUCCAGGCCAUUUCUCACUGGGCUAUCCUCAUCUACAAAUGCACCCCAAAGUGUUUGAAGGUCCGCCAGAGAGCUGUCCUCCUGUGGGGGGACAAACGCACUACGGAAACUCUCAUCUAGAAACAAAUGCCUCAGCUUUUGCAUCAUCCAUAUUGAACUUGGAAGAGUGUUGAUGCAAGUACGCUUCAAAUCCAGCGUUUGAAGGUUUAGCAAUUUGUUGAUGAAUGCAGGAAGCAUCUGAAGGUAUGUUGAUCUCAAGCCAAGGUACUUCA